AUUGAACGCUGGCGGCAGGCCUAACACAUGCCAGUCGAGCGGAUGAAGGGAGCUUGCUCCUGGAUUCAGCGGCGGACGGGUGAGUAAUGCCUAGGAAUCUGCCUGGUAGUGGGGGAUAACGUCCGGAAACGGGCGCUAAUACCGCAUACGUCCUGAGGAAGAAAGUGGGGGAUCUUCGGACCUCACGCUAUCAGAUGAGCCUAGGUCGGAUUAGCUAGUUGGUGGGGUAAAGGCCUACCAAGGCGACGAUCCGUAACUGGUCUGAGAGGAUGAUCAGUCACACUGGAACUGAGACACGGUCCAGACUCCUACGGGAGGCAGCAGUGGGGAAUCUUGGACAAUGGGCGAAAGCCUGAUCCAGCCAUGCCGCGUGUGUGAAGAAGGUCUUCGGAUUGUAAAGCACUUUAAGUUGGGAGGAAGGGCAGUAAGUUAAUACCUUGCUGUUUUGACGUUACCAACAGAAUAAGCACCGGCUAACUUCGUG
rnacentral:rRNA from 1 species